rnacentral:rRNA from 1 species
AGAGUUUGAUCCUGGCUCAGGAUGAACGCUGGCGGCGUGCCUAACACAUGCAAGUCGAACGGACUUUUCAUGAAGCCUAGCGAUUGAAAAGUUAGUGGCGGACGGGUGAGUAACGCGUGGGUAACCUGCCUUGUACUGGGGGACAACAGUUGGAAACGACUGCUAAUACCGCAUAAGCGCACAGCUUCGCAUGAAGCAGUGUGAAAAACUCCGGUGGUACAAGAUGGACCCGCGUCUGAUUAGCUGGUUGGUGAGGUAACGGCCCACCAAGGCGACGAUCAGUAGCCGGCCUGAGAGGGUGAACGGCCACA